GAUGAACGCUGGCGGCGUGCCUAAUACAUGCAAGUCGAGCGAACAGACGAGGAGCUUGCUCCUCUGACGUUAGCGGCGGACGUGUGAGUAACACGUGUAUAACCUACCUAUAAGACUGGGAUAACUUCGGGAAACCGGCGCUAAUACCGGAUAAUAUAUUGAACCGCAUGGUUCAAUAGUGAAGGACGGUUUUGCUGUCACUUAUAGAUGGAUCCGCGCCGCAUUAGCUAGUUGGUAAGGUAACGGCUUACCAAGGCAACGAUGCGUAGCCGACCUGAGAGGGUGAUCGGCCACACUGGAACUGAGACACGGUCCAGACUACUACGGGAGGCAGCAGUAGGGAAUCUUACGCAAUGGGCGAAAGCUUGACGGAGCAACGCCGCGUGAGUGAUGAAGGUGUUCGGAUCGUAAAACUCUGUUAUUAGGGAAGAACAAAUGUGUAAGUAAAUAUGCACGUCUUGACGGUACCUAAUCAGAAAGCCACGGCUAACUACGUG
rnacentral:rRNA from 1 species